GACGAACUUUGGCGGCGUGCUUAACACAUGCAAGUCGAACGGUAAGGCUCCAGCUUGCUGGGGUACACGAGUGGCGAACGGGUGAGUAACACGUGGGUGACCUGCCCUGCACUUCGGGAUAAGCCUGGGAAACUGGGUCUAAUACCGGAUAGGACCGCACCGUGAGGGUGUGGUGGAAAGUUUUUUCGGUGUGGGAUGGGCCCGCGGCCUAUCAGCUUGUUGGUGGGGUAAUGGCCUACCAAGGCGGCGACGGGUAGCCGGCCUGAGAGGGUGGACGGCCACAUUGGGACUGAGACACGGCCCAGACUCCUACGGGAGGCAGCAGUGGGGAAUAUUGCACAAUGGGCGGAAGCCUGAUGCAGCGACGCCGCGUGGGGGAUGACGGCCUUCGGGUUGUAAACUCCUUUCACCAUCGACGAAGGGUUUCUGACGGUAGAUGGAGAAGAAGCACCGGCUAACUACGUGCCAGCAGCCGCGGUAAUACGUAGGGUGCGAGCGUUGUCCGGAAUUACUGGGCGUAAAGAGCUCGUAGGUGGUUUGUCGCGUCGUCUGUGAAAUUCCGGGGCUUAACUCCGGGCGUGCAGGCGAUACGGGCAUAACUUGAGUACUGUAGGGGAGACUGGAAUUCCUGGUGUAGCGGUGAAAUGCGCAGAUAUCAGGAGGAACACCGGUGGCGAAGGCGGGUCUCUGGGCAGUAACUGACGCUGAGGAGCGAAAGCAUGGGGAGCGAACAGGAUUAGAUACCCUGGUAGUCCAUGCCGUAAACGGUGGGCGCUAGGUGUGGGUUUCCUUCCACGGGAUCCGUGCCGUAGCUAACGCAUUAAGCGCCCCGCCUGGGGAGUACGGCCGCAAGGCUAAAACUCAAAGGAAUUGACGGGGGCCCGCACAAGCCGCGGAGCAUGUGGAUUAAUUCGAUGCAACGCGAAGAACCUUACCUGGGCUUGACAUAUACAGGAUCGCGCCAGAGAUGGUGUUUCCCUUGUGGCUUGUAUACAGGUGGUGCAUGGUUGUCGUCAGCUCGUGUCGUGAGAUGUUGGGUUAAGUCCCGCAACGAGCGCAACCCUUGUCUUAUGUUGCCAGCACGUUGUGGUGGGGACUCGUAAGAAACUGCCGGGGUUAACUCGGAGGAAGGUGGGGAUGACGUCAAAUCAUCAUGCCCCUUAUGUCCAGGGCUUCACACAUGCUACAAUGGUCGGUACAGUGGGUUGCCAGUCCGUGAGGGCGAGCUAAUCCCGCAAAGCCGGUCUCAGUUCGGAUCGGGGUCUGCAACUCGACCCCGUGAAGUCGGAGUCGCUAGUAAUCGCAGAUCAGCAACGCUGCGGUGAAUACGUUCCCGGGCCU
rnacentral:rRNA from 1 species